AAUUGGCGUACAGCAAUCAACAUUGAGCCAUUAUUUAAAUCACUAUAAAGCAAAUUACCAUGUCAACAACAACAAAAAUAUAGACAAUCACAUAAGCAAAAAAGUAAACCAAAAAUACAAAAAUUACCAUAUCAAACAAAGGCGGUAUGCAAAUUUACCAGUCCACGCCUAAACGAUAUUACCCAAAAUGAUGUAGAAAGGUUGAAUGUAUAAAAGAAAAAGAAAAUAUCAUAUAUGCAAUCUAUCUGUCUUGUGAUUAUGGUAAAAAGUUAAACCAGC
rnacentral:lncRNA from 1 species